UACAGAGGGUGCAAGCGUUAAUCGGAAUUACUGGGCGUAAAGCGCGCGUAGGUGGUUUGUUAAGUUGAAUGUGAAAUCCCCGGGCUCAACCUGGGAACUGCAUGCAAAACUGGCAAGCUAGAGUAUGGUAGAGGGUGGUGGAAUUUCCUGUGUAGCGGUGAAAUGCGUAGAUAUAGGAAGGAACACCAGUGGCGAAGGCGACUCUUUGGCCUGUAACUGACACUGAGGCGCGAAAGCGUGGGGAGCAAACAGG
rnacentral:rRNA from 1 species